UACGGGGGGAGCAAGCGUUGUUCGGAUUUACUGGGCGUAAAGGGCGCGUAGGCGGCCACCGCAAGUCGACUGUGAAAUCUCCGGGCUUAACCCGGAAAGGUCAGCCGAUACUGCGGGGCUAGAGUGCAGAAGGGGCAACUGGAAUUCUCGGUGUAGCGGUGAAAUGCGUAGAUAUCGAGAGGAACACCUGCGGCGAAGGCGGGUUGCUGGGCUGACACUGACGCUGAGGCACGAAAGCUAGGGGAGCAAACAGG
rnacentral:rRNA from 1 species